rnacentral:tRNA from 1 species
AAAAAUUUAGUUAAAAUAUAACAUUAACUUGUCAAGUUAAAAUAAUUAAUAAAUUAAUAAUUUUUA